GACGAACGCUGGCGGCGUGCUUAACACAUGCCAGUCGAACGGAAAGGCCCUGCUUUUGUGGGGUGCUCGAGUGGCGAACGGGUGAGUAACACGUGAGUAACCUGCCCUUGACUUUGGGAUAACUUCAGGAAACUGGGGCUAAUACCGGAUAGGAGCUCCUGCUGCAUGGUGGGGGUUGGAAAGUUUCGGCGGUUGGGGAUGGACUCGCGGCUUAUCAGCUUGUUGGUGGGGUAGUGGCUUACCAAGGCUUUGACGGGUAGCCGGCCUGAGAGGGUGACCGGCCACAUUGGGACUGAGAUACGGCCCAGACUCCUACGGGAGGCAGCAGUGGGGAAUAUUGCACAAUGGGCGGAAGCCUGAUGCAGCAACGCCGCGUGCGGGAUGACGGCCUUCGGGUUGUAAACCGCCUUCGCCUGUGACGAAGCGUGAGUGACGGUAAUGGGUAAAGAAGCACCGGCUAACUACGUG
rnacentral:rRNA from 1 species